GCCGGGCGUGGUGGCUCACGCCUGUAAUCCCAACAUUUUGGGAGGCAGAGGCAGGUGGAUCACCUGAGGUCAGGAGUUCGAAACCAGCCUGGCCAACAUAGUGAAACCCUGUCUCUA
ensembl:misc_RNA Metazoa_SRP Metazoan signal recognition particle RNA